GACGAACGCUGGCGGCGUGCCUAAUACAUGCAAGUUGAGCGCUGAAGGUUGGUACUUGUACCGACUGGAUGAGCAGCGAACGGGUGAGUAACGCGUGGGGAAUCUGCCUUUGAGCGGGGGACAACAUUUGGAAACGAAUGCUAAUACCGCAUAAAAACUUUAAACACAAGUUUUAAGUUUGAAAGAUGCAAUUGCAUCACUCAAAGAUGAUCCCGCGUUGUAUUAGCUAGUUGGUGAGGUAAAGGCUCACCAAGGCGAUGAUACAUAGCCGACCUGAGAGGGUGAUCGGCCACAUUGGGACUGAGACACGGCCCAAACUCCUACGGGAGGCAGCAGUAGGGAAUCUUCGGCAAUGGACGAAAGUCUGAACGAGCAACGCCGCGUGAGUGAAGAAGGGUUUCGGAUCGUAAAACUCUGUUGGUAGAGAAGAACGUUGGUGAGAGUGGAAAGCUCAUCAAGUGACGGUAACUACACAGAAAGGGACGGCUAACUACGUG
rnacentral:rRNA from 1 species